AGAUGGUGGUAGACAAUCAUAUGGAGAUAGGCUUUGGCAUAAUCAUAAGUCUGAGAAAAUGAUGCAAUCUGUGGGAUUGUUUAAGAGUAUUAUUUCUGGCAAACAGUUACUAACGGGAAGAAAAACUCUACAACAUGGAAAAUGCAUUACUACUAUAAAUACAAGGUGUUCUACAACAGACAGGGAUGACCUUCAACUCAACACACAAAACUACAUUGCACAAAUUAUC
rnacentral:lncRNA from 1 species